CCUCCUCGUAGCCAACCACUGUCUCAGGGACCAAUCGAACCCCUCCCUUUGAAACCCUAGCCGCCCCCGUACGCUCUCGCCUGAAACCCAGCGGCAACAACGCCGCCGGCCACAAUAACCACACCACUGAACCUCCAUACCAUCCUGAACAUGAAUCCCUUAUCAGUUAACUUCGAAUCAUCCCCAAUAAUCUCGAAUCUUCAACUGAAGAUUCGAGCCAAAACCCUAAUUCACCUAAUGAGUCCCAAAAUCACAACAACUACCCACCGAACCACCCUCACCCCCAAUCCCUAACUAAUUGGGUCCAAAUCCGAGUUGAGCUCAUCAAGAGACAGACUAAGGUUUGUCUGUUCAAGACCGAUUUGAAUUCGUCUGAGUCAGGUUGUUUUCUAGUUAGUAUUAUAGGCAUAUUUCGGACGAAAUAGGCAUAUAAUACUAACUGGAGAACAAUCUUUGAAGAAUAUGUUGUUUGAAGUCCGAAAAUGUGAGUUUUCCUAAUUUUUUCUUUUCUUUUCUUUUUCUAUAUGUUUGUUUGUAUGAUCAAUUUGUAUCUUGUUUAAUUUAUUUCUCGUCGAUGAUGUUCAAUAUCUUUCUCCUUCCCAUCAGACCUUUUAUUUGGUCCAGUUCUGUCUGUCAAUUAGUAAUACAUGUUAUGAAUAGUUAUCAUCGUUUAAUCUGUGUUGUUUAUAGUUCAGUAAUUAUCAUCAAAUGUUUUGAUGUUGCAUAUGUUAUGUAUUGAUCCUUAGGUUGUUAGCGAUCCUGCAUUUUUGCAUAGGUUUGAUUCAAGUUUGAUUGCCUGCUCAUUCUUUUAUGAUAUAGCUAAAGAUUGGCUCCCUAAUCUGAAGUCCCCUAAAUUGUAUAAUCGACCUGAGCUUUAAUAGUCUAAAGUAUGUGCCUGGAUCAUUGGUCUGAAUUUGGAUAUUGCUUUGUCCAAGAUUGAAUUGAUAUUGAAUUUAGCUUUAAAAUGCUAUUUGAUUUCAGCUCAUUUGUUUCGUUAGUUGAUUGUUGCUGUUGUUUUGAAGGCUGAUUGUAACAUGCUAGUUCAAUUGUAAUUAGUUUCUGUGGUUGUUUGAAUUGGUUGAGUUUCAUACUAUGUUUAGGGUUUGAUGUUGAUUGAACCUAAGAUCAGUUCUGAACCCUAGUUUUAUCAAUGAUUAGGUCUUCCCCCUUUUAGAAAUUGGCUAUAGCUGAUAAGGUAGGAGGGUAAAACACAGGGACCUUCAGGGGUAGAUCGGAAACUGAAAAGAGUUAAAAAUUUUGGUUAGAUAGUGGUAUGGCAGAAGUAUAUUUAAUUAAGCAUUAAACUAAUAUUUUUUUAAUAUAGUGGGGUACAAGACAUAUACUAGUGGGGAACAAAACAUAGCGGGCAAAAAAAGAAGAAGGGAAUAAUGAUGAAAAAGCUAAAAGGGUGCAUGGGAGGGAAUAUCAAGCAGGAAAGUAAAAGAAACAUGGGGUAAGGAUAAAAGGUUUAGAGGUACAACUGUAAAGAAGAAAAAGGGCGCUGAAAAGAGGGGUCUCUCUUGGGGUACAAACAUAGGUAGACCUGGACAGUUUUAGGGAGUCUUUUAAAAUCUUGGAGAGUCAUAAUUUGAAAAAAAAAAACUAACUGGUCUUUGAAUGCUAAAAAAAGGGAGUGAGAUAAAGAGUCUAGAGGUAAACAAGCCUUAAGCUUGAACAUUCUGAUGAAAAACAAAAGCCAGAUAGACAUUGGGAGGGACUUGAAGGGGCAGAAUUUGAGAGGAAAGGACUAGAUUUUGAACAUUAGAAAUUCAGUAUUGAGAGGCUGGAAUUUCACAGUUUAAAAGCAAAUCUAGGCUGAAUUUUUACACUAAAGGUUCAGUUAGUUUGAGAGUUACAAAACUGAAAGUGAGGUCUCUUUGCUAUUGAAAAUCAGUACUGUUGUGCUACUGUUUCAUUGAAGUUCUAGGUUUCUUUCUACUUCUGCCUGUGAUACUGCUUGGGGUUUCUGGGAUUGGUGUUGCUAUUUGGUUAUUUUUGAAACUGUUGUUGGUUGUGGGAUCAUCUCUAUUAGUUUUAAAAUUUGUCCCUAGGUGUUCUAUUUGCUUCUGCUGUUGCUGAUUGUUGUUGCUACUUUGUUGCUGCUGAUCCUCUUCUUCUUCUUGUCCUAUUUCUCCAAUCCAGGUAUACAACUCCUAAUACUUUGAUGUAAAUCUGAGCUUGAAGAAUGAAUGAGUAAAUUUUAUCCAAUUGGGUGUUCGAGUGGAUGUUAUCUCUAUUCAAUUAUUGUGAUCAUUAGCUUAACUUGUAUAAACGAACUUGGGACUGUGUUAGGGCUGAUGGAAAUUGUUUAAAUUACUUUAUUGCAUUUGGCUUAGGCUGUAACAUCAUUAAUGUGAUUCGAAUUAGGUGGGCAAUUGACCUAGAUUAAUUAGUGAAUUGCUGAUUGUAUUUAUGAGGUGUAAUUUGAAGCCUGUAAGUAUUUGAAAAGUUAUAUUCAGUAUAGUACAAGUGAUAUUGUUAAAGUAACAUUCUAAGGCUUUUGUUAAGAUCCAGGGUUUAUAAUUUCAUUUGAGCCAAUUAGCUAAAAAAAUGUUCAGUUUAACCUCACUCAAGGUUUCAUUGUUUCAUCAUCUACC
rnacentral:lncRNA from 1 species